rnacentral:rRNA from 1 species
CCUACGGGAGGCUGCAGUGAGGAAUAUUGGUCAAUGGACGAGAGUCUGAACCAGCCAAGUAGCGUGAAGGAUGACUGCCCUAUGGGUUGUAAACUUCUUUUAUAUGGGAAUAAAACAGGGUAUGCAUACCCUCUUGUAUGUACCAUAUGAAUAAGGAUCGGCUAACUCCGUGCCAGCAGCCGCGGUAAUACGGAGGAUCCGAGCGUUAUCCGGAUUUAUUGGGUUUAAAGCGCUCGUAGGCGGUAUGUCAAGUCAAGGGUGAAAUCCCCGGGCUCAACGGGGGAACUGCCUUGGAAACUGGAAAACUGGAGUGUGGGAGAGGAGAGUGGAAUUCCAGGUGUAGGAGUGAAAUCCGUAGAUAUCUGGAGGAACAUCAGUGGCGAAGGCGACUAGCUGGAACAUAACUGACGCUGAGGAGCGAAAGCGUGGGUAGCAAACAGGAUUAGAUACCCUUGUAGUC